ACGUUGAAACACCAGUUCCCGUACGAUCUCCGAAGUUAAGCAACGUCGAGCCUGGUCAGUAUCUAGAUAGGUGACCGCUCGGAAAUGCCA